rnacentral:rRNA from 1 species
UAGGGAAUCUUCCGCAAUGGGCGAAAGCCUGACGGAGCAACGCCGCGUGAGUGAUGAAGGUCUUCGGAUCGUAAAACUCUGUUAUUAGGGAAGAACAAAUGUGUAAGUAACUAUGCACGUCUUGACGGUACUUAAUCAGAAAGCCACGGCUAACUACGUGCCAGCAGCCGCGGUAAUACGUAGGUGGCAAGCGUUAUCCGGAAUUAUUGGGCGUAAAGCGCGCGUAGGCGGUUUUUUAAGUCUGAUGUGAAAGCCCACGGCUCAACCGUGGAGGGUCAUUGGAAACUGGAAAACUUGAGUGCAGAAGAGGAAAGUGGAAUUCCAUGUGUAGCGGUGAAAUGCGCAGAGAUAUGGAGGAACACCAGUGGCGAAGGCGACUUUCUGGUCUGUAACUGACGCUGAUGUGCGAAAGCGUGGGGAUCAAACAGG